CCACUAUUUAUAAAAUUAUUAUUGUUUUGUUUUUAAUAUGGAAAUGGACCAACAACAGCAAGGCUCACUUACAAAACAUAUUCACCAAAAACUAUAACAGAUCACUAGCUCAACAUGAUAUCUUGCCAAACAAACAAGAUGACCAUUCUUAUGUAAAAAAAUGUGAUGACAAUGAUCUCUUUUCUACACAGUUUAAACAAUAUAUGAUUAGUGAUUAUAACCCAGAUACAUAUGUUCAAAUUAGGAGAUAUUAUAAAAAUGUGUCAAUUUAUAUAACUGACAUUAAGCACGAAUUAAUUAAAACGUUAGCUAACCGAAAUGAUCCCCAAAUAACAAAUAUAUUAGCAAAAAAUAUACAACACAACGAUUUAAUACGAAUGUAUGAUUUUUUUAAACAUGUCAUGUCAAGUGACGAAUAUUUACAAAUUUUGCAUCAAAGUUGUGAGUCGUUAAAAUAUAAAAGUUUAAAUUACAGGGACGAUGCUGCAAAAUUCCACAACUCUGUGUUAUACUUACUCAAUACAUAUUUUUAUCUUACCAACAGUAAAAAAAGUUUUAAACAACGCUUUACCCAGUUAGAAGUAAACCACAAACAACCAAUACAUAAAAAAAAAGGAUUCAAAUUCAAAGCAAAAUAUUUGAAUAUAUUUAAACUUGGUGAAAAAAUAGAUAAACAUUUUAGAACCAAAUUACUCGAAGAAAUUAUAAAAGAAGAAAUAGAUCCAUUUGGAAAAGUGUCAUUUAAACAACGGCUUAGGUUUGCUGGUUAUGCAUUCUCUAUUCCAACAUUCAUAAUGAUGAUUUAUAUUAUCACGCUAAUUACUGCGUCAUGGCCUGUCACAACUAUACUAUUAGGACUUUAUUUGUGUGGGUAUGUACAUUCCGUAAAUAAAGUUUGUAAAAACAUGGAUUAUAUAUACCGAAUUGUACAAGGGGUUAAACUAUCAAACAGAGAUUUUUUUAUUUAAUACUAUGUAAGAUAAACAAGUUAGAACGUGGUGAAAUGUUUUAUAAAUUAAAAAUUUUUUGAUGCUAUUAACAUAAAUAUGUGGUUUGGGAUAAGUUGAAACACAAAAUUUUUAAACAUAUUCAACUUUUUAAAAACGUGUCAAAUGUUUAAAGUAGCUAAUUAAUUAUGGCCUACCAAAAAAAAAAAAAAAAAAAUAACAUAAUAUAAUAA